rnacentral:rRNA from 1 species
GAUGAACGCUAGCGGGAGGCCUAACACAUGCAAGCCGAGCGGUAUUGUUUCUUCGGAAAUGAGAGAGCGGCGUACGGGUGCGUAACACGUGUGCAACCUGCCUUUAUCUGGGGGAUAGCCUUUCGAAAGGAAGAUUAAUACUCCAUAAUAUAUUGAACGGCAUCGUUUAAUAUUGAAAGCUCCUGCGGAUAGAGAUGGGCACGCGCAAGAUUAGCUAGUUGGUGAGGUAACGGCUCACCAAGGCGAUGAUCGUUAGGGGGCCUGAGAGGGUGAUCCCCCACACUGGUACUGAGACACGGACCAGACUCCUACGGGAGGCAGCAGUGAGGAAUAUUGGUCAAUGGGUGCAAGCCUGAACCAGCCAUCCCGCGUGAAGGACGACUGCCCUAUGGGUUGUAAACUUCUUUUGUAUAGGGAUAAACCUACCCUCGAGAGGGUAGCUGAAGGUACUAUACGAAUAAGCACCGGCUAACUCCGUG